UUCCACCGUGGGUCCCAAAGGUCUCUGCUCGUCAGCAAAGGCCAGAGCUGCAGGCUCGGCUGGAGGUGUGGCACCCUACAAUAAAGCCACAGGUAGAAGGGACAGAACCAGGGCAGAAGAAGGAAGAAGAAAGGCAAAAUUCACCUCCACACGCAUAGCCACAGUCACGUGAUCAGGUGGCACUGGUUUCCAAGCAGCUGAUCGGAGCGUACACAGGCACAACGGUGAGAUGCAUCAAACAUUUGUAAUAUCCAAGACAUGGAACCAACUUCCUUGUCUGCUGAUGAAGAAAAUGUAAGUGUGCACAUGGACUGUUAUUCAGCCUUGAACAAGAAUUAAGUCCUGCCAUUUGCAACAACAUGGAUAAAUCUGAAGGAAGUGAAGUAAAACACACUGGGCACAGAAAGACAAAGACAGUUCCCACACCAUGUCAUUCACGUGUGAAUUAAGCAAUGUGAAGUAGGAGGUGGAAUCAUGGUUACCAGGCACUGUGAGAGGAGGACUCCAGACUGACAGGAAGAGUAAGCUGAUAGCUACUGUACAACUAGACGACCGUAAUUCCUAACAAUGUGUUUAAAAGCUACUGAGCACGUAGACUUCACUAUGCAUACCGUAACCCGCAUGCUCCUUAGCCUCAUUACCCAUCCCACAGCGAGUGUGUAUCUCAAGGCAUCAUGGUAGAAACCACACCAGCAUAGUCUGUAUUUGCUUACAGCAAAUAAAAUUCAACCGGAGCCAUUUCCUGCCCUAAGCAUUCUGUCAAACUUCUCUUUCACUUAUAUCCCUCCCUGUUGAGACACAGACUAGUAAUUUAAGGUGCUGAACAAAAGACGCCCCCCAAGAGGAAAAAGGCUCAGCAAGUCCAGGCAACCAGGUACCCCCGCUGCGCCCCUCGGGC